rnacentral:rRNA from 1 species
AAUAGAUACCCAGGUAGUCCACGCCCUAAACGUUGCGAACUAGGUGUUGGCGAGAUUGACCUCGUCAGUGCCGCAGCUAACGCAUUAAGUUCGCCGCCUGGGAAGUACGGUCGCAAGAUUAAAACUCAAAGGAAUAGGCGGGGGCCCGCACAAGCAGCGGAGCGUGUGGUUUAAUUCGAUGCGACGCGAAGAACCUUACCUGGGCUUGACAUGUUUCGGAAACCUCGGUGAAAGCCGGGGCUCCCAGCAAUGGGCCGUUGCACAGGUGGUGCAUGGCUGUCGUCAGCUUGUGCCGUGAGGUGUUGGGUUAAGUCCCGCAACGAGCGCAACCCCCAUCACUAGUUGCCAUCAGGUAACGCUGGGAACUCUAGUGAAACUGCCGUCGUAAGACGCGAGGAAGGAGGGGAUGAUGUCAAGUCAUCAUGGCCUUUAUGCCCAGGGCUACACACGUGCUACAAUGGGGCGUACAAAGGGCUGCCACUUAGUGAUAAGGAGCCAAUCCCAAAAAACGCCUCUCAGUUCAGAUUGG